rnacentral:hammerhead_ribozyme from 1 species
GCAUUGUUGAGGAGUCCCACAAUUGGACGAAACGAUAGUCCAGUGC